rnacentral:rRNA from 1 species
UGGGGAAUAUUGGACAAUGGGCGAAAGCCUGAUCCAGCAAUGCCGCGUGUGUGAAGAAGGUCUUCGGAUUGUAAAGCACUUUCGACGGGGACGAUGAUGACGGUACCCGUAGAAGAAGCCCCGGCUAACUUCGUGCCAGCAGCCGCGGUAAUACGAAGGGGGCUAGCGUUGCUCGGAAUGACUGGGCGUAAAGGGCGCGUAGGCGGUUCGGUUAGUUAGGCGUGAAAUUCCCGGGCUUAACCUGGGGGCUGCGCUUAAUACAGCCGGGCUUGAGUUCGGAAGAGGGUCGUGGAAUUCCCAGUGUAGAGGUGAAAUUCGUAGAUAUUGGGAAGAACACCGGUGGCGAAGGCGGCGACCUGGUCCGAUACUGACGCUGAGGCGCGAAAGCGUGGGGAGCAAACAGGAUUAGAUACCCCGGUAGUCC